GCGCAUUUACGUUGUAGAUGUCUAUGGGCUCCAGUAACCACUUAACACCAGGUGGACUGUGAGAUCGUCCAUCCACCUAAGCAAUAAAAAAAAUUAGCAAGAGCAGUGCUUCGCUGAAUCUACUACCGUAUCGGAAUCUGCCCCACUGAGAAGAUCCGGCGAGAAACUCAGUGGGUAACUAGUAGUGCCUUAAAUAUUUAUUAUAAUUUACUUUAUUUUAUUUAAGCGCCGUUCUCGACAUAUAUCUUUAAAAUAUAUUACAAUCUGAAAAACGAUCAAAAAAAUAUUCUUAUAAUUUUUAAUGAGACAGGCAUUCAUGUAUAAGGAAAUCUGUUCUCAAUAGCAUUCGUAUAUUUUGUGCCAGCGGUAAGGCAUAGGUACGUGCUAUCAUUGUGCGGUUUAAAUUUUGCGACUUAAUAAAUAUUAAUGAUUCAUACAUUAUUUUAGGACUCGCGAUAACCGACAAAAUGCAGCGUUUAUAAAUAUUUCUCUGGUUUCAAUGUUAUGUGUAUUUAAGGCCGGAAUCUAAAUUCUUUAACUGUAACUGCAUUUGGAAAUUGAAAUUAAGCAAAGUUUAAUUAAAGCAGCGUGGGCAGGCCUCCUACGCGAUGGACCAACAAACUGCUAAAGAUCAUACAUCACUACAUAGUAUAAAACAAAGUCGCUUUCUCUGUCCCUAUAUCCCUAUGUAUGCUUAAAUCAUUAAAACUACGCAACGGAUUUUGAUGCGGUUUUUUUAAUAGAUAGAGUGAUUAAAGAGGAAGGUUGAUAUGUAUAGUAACAUCCAUUAAAUAGUGGAGAAAUCAAUCAUAAAUUACAGUUUUCGAAGCGAAGCCAUGGCGGGUCGCUAGUUAUACAUAGUUUAAUAGUACAAAGUAUAGUAGUACAAUUGAAACUUCGAUCUCAUAUGUCAAGGUGUGUCCCGACAAUCAAAUUUUGAUCUUUAUGAGGUUUGGUUACAGCCUGUCAAAUGGGCUGUGGGGUCGUUUGUACACCUAGAACACUGCUAUAAUAAGUUAAUAGUAAAAAAUUUCGAAUGAAACUAAUAUGGUGGAGUUAAAAUGAGGAAGUCUGACGAUAAUACUUACUGAAAAAAAAAAAAAAAAAAGUAGGUAUCUGAGUUCGAGAAUGACCACCAUAAAGCAUAAUAAAUACAAUAAAUGUAAUAGCAAAUUAUAAAUUACAUUUAUUCUAUAUUAUUAUUUACCUUAAACAGAUAUUAUCUAUAUUGCGUAAUUAUAAAAAAUACCUACAUUUGCGUAAUUACUGAUGCACCGCUAUACUGCUUCUUUUUAUCUGCAGCUGUACACCACUUAACACAAUUUGCAAGCUCAUUUGCGCAUGUAGACAAAAAGGCGAUAAUAUAGCUGUCCGUGGACCGCGCACCGUACCAACGAAAGAGCUCAACAUCAAGGAGAGACUAUCAUCAACAGUCCAAAUACGAAUCUUCAAGUUCUUCGGGCACAUCGCUCGUAAUGAGGACUCCAUUGAGCGAUUGGUAGUACGGGAAAGUCGAGGGCAAAAGAUCUCGCGGACGAUCUCAUAAAAUCUGUGCCUCACUCCAACAUAAAUGAUUGCUCUCAUUCUGCGAGACACUGUGCCACAGGGCGUCGCAUCGCGAGAGCAUCGGUAUCGCAGGAUUCGACUGAUGCAUGACCACGACCACUUUGUCAAGAGUGUACGACUAGGAAGAAGAAUAUUUUAAUAUCUGAAGAGUGUUUUAUGAUAAAAAAUAAA